rnacentral:rRNA from 1 species
CCCCCUGCCUCAUGAUUUUUUAAAUUGCUGUGGUAUUUUGACUAUACGAAGGUAUUGAAAUAAGGUUUUAAAUGGGCGCUAAGAGAAUGGUUAAACAAUUACAAGCUUUCUUUAAUUUACAAAUUGAAUUUAAUUUUUUUGUGAAGAAGCCAAUAUAUGUAUUAGGGACAAGAAGACCCUAUGCAUUUUAAAUUUAUUUUAUUUUAUUUAAAUUAAAAUAAAUUUAAUUGGGGCGAUUAGUAAAGAAUAUUUAUCUUUAAAUAAUAAUUAAUAAGAUCCGUUAUUAACGAUUAAAUGAAAAAAAUACUCUAGGGAUAACAGCGUAAUAAUUUCGAAUAGUUCGUAUUGAUGAAAUAGUUUGCGACCUCGAUGUUGGAUUAGGAUUCUUUUUUGGUGAAGAAAUU